AGUGGAUUCAAUAUUAUAAAGCAACUUGUCGGCUGGUCCCAUAGUCUUCAUCACAAAUGAAAACAGCAGAACUGCAAGGAUAACUGACACUGUAUGAUAAAUUGGAAUAAUGAGAUGGUUGUAGAUAAACGGAACAAUUUGCAAAUUACAAUUUUAUUUGUUACAGCAUAUAGGUGAUAACAUAAAGCCGCAAAUUAUUAUGUAUAGUUGCCUGGGACGUGCUGCCUGAGGCAGUGGUGACUGCAAGAGGCUCUUAGAUAGGCAAAUAAAUGUGCAGGAAAUGGAAGGAUAUAGAUACUGUGAAGAUAGGAGGGAUUAGUUUAGUUGGGCAUUUGAAUAGUAAUUUAAUCAGUUCAGCACAACAUUGUGGACUGAAGGGUCUGAUCCUGUUCUAUGCUCAUUUUGAAUGUAUAUUUUAGACUAGGUUUAAUUUGAGAUUAAUUUGAAUCUAAACGAGUUACAAAUCUAGUUCUUCCCCAACCUCAGGAGCAAGAGACUUAAAAAUAAUUUCCCCAAGGAUUCUUCAACAGGUUUGAGUGGCUCCCAGAGGAAUUGUAAGUAGACCUAUCACCUGCCAGCUUGUACUCCUUCCCUUCAUUCCACUUUCUUACUCUUGCUUCUUCUGUCUUCCUUUCCAGUCUUGGCUCAAAACACCAACCGUUUAUUCCUCUCCAUAAAUGCUGCAUGACCUGCUGAGUUCUCCAGCAUUUUCUGGGUGUUGCUCUGGAUUUUCAGCAUCUGCAGAAUCUCUUGCAUUUAUACUAACAUUUAAGGCAAUUGAAUGCACAGAAUUAGGCUAUUUGCUGCAAAGGCAAGUGUCUACUUUUGCAAACACCAUUCUGUAAAACUGCACAGUUCUCAGUUUAGGUGGGACAUUGCUCCCAUAUCCCCAAACCAAUAACAAAGAUCCAAUGUACUUAAACAUGAGGAAAUCUACAGAUGCUGGAAAUUCAAGCAUCCUGACAAAGGGUCUCGGCCCGAAACGUCAACAGCGCUUCUCCCUAUAGAUGCUGCCUGGCCUGCUGUGUUCCACCAGCAUUUUGUGUGUGUUGAUCCAAUGUACUUAACCAACAAGCUGCUGGGCUGGAAUUAAUUAAAUCAGCUUUCAAAGGCAAUAAAAAGGUAACUUUCACUAAGUCAGAGUCAUUAUUAACAAGCAGCAUUCACAUUUUGUACCAAUAAUUACAGGUUUUCUUUUUCAGUAAAGGUACUUCAAGGAAGAACACAGAGAAACAAAUGGUGAAAGACAAACCCCUCAAUUGUGAAGCUAGUGAAAUUUGCCAACCUGGAAGAUCUGUGUGCUGUCCUACACCGUAAACAAAGAAAUUAGAACAGAUGACUUGUGCCUAGAUGUGUCCAAACUUAAUGGUCCUAUCAUGAUGCUGAAGUACCACCAUCUAAAAGGCAAUCAGCUUUGGGAACAUGAUGCUGUAAAAUUACAUACCAUGACUGAUGGAGUGGCUACUUUCACAGUAGUUGGCAAAGUACUGGCCCCAGGUGUUACUGCCACUGUUUUCACCAUGGUUGUGCCAGGGUGGAUUCCAACUGAGGUAACUGCUGUGCUUGACGGGAUUUUCUGAGUGGCAGCAGCGGCAGCAGCCAGAGCUGCCAUUCCACUCAUCUGUGGGCUAGAGGACGUGGUCUGGAAGAUGCACGCCUCUGGGAUAAGGCCCUGUGGAUGAGCCAAUUCCAUGCCGGCAUCGCCGACAGACACGGAACAUCGAAAACAGUGGAUCAAUUAUCAAAGGCUGUACUCGAGCAAUCAUUCUCUUAAUGGUGGGGAGAGUUUGCUGUCUAUUCUUGAGGUGGAGAACUCAAAAUAAAUGCAAUGAAGCAGAU